CUGCUCCUGAAGAAAAACAAGCUGCUAGUGGAUAUGGAAAAACAGCUUCCUACACGGAAGAUGCAGAUGCAUUCAACCCGGCGGAUGCAAGUUUGCUAAUAAAAAUUAUUCUCAAGGGUCUAGUAGAAUGAAAGGGAAAGCAGAAUCUACAGGUGCAGCGAAAGGAUCCUUCUUCGCCGCUAUACUCGGUUAAAACUUUCGAAGCUUUGCAUAUGAAGCCGGAGCUGCUUCAGGGAGUCUAUGCUAUGGGUUCCUACGCCCCUUCCAAGAUUCAGGAAACGGCUCUACCUGCUCUGUUGGCGUUGGUUGUGGAGCACAUGAUCGCCCAGUCAGUCAGAAACAAGAAAAACCGCUGCUUUCGCGCUGACAAUGCUCAGUCGAGUCGAUCCGUUAAAAAAAACUAUCCGCAAGUGAUUUGCCUUUCCCUUACAAAUGAACUAGCCAAUCAGAAGGGGGUAGUAGCUGCCAAAAUUACAAAGUUUUGUCCGGAAAUCAAAUUUAGUUACCCCAUCCGCGGCGAGGAGAUUGUCAAAGGGGCGAAGCUGAUUAAUCAUAUCAUCAUCGAAACACCCGGUAAGCUGAUGGACUGGAAUAUAAAAUUCAGGCGUUCGACCUUGAGAAAUUGCCGUUUGUGUACUAAACGAAGCGGGCGCUAUGAUCGCUGUUCUUGGCCACGUACGAGCGGGAGGUAAUGGAGUUCGCCGAGUACAUUUUACCCGAUCCGAUCGUGAUUCAGCUACCGCGGGAGCAAGAAUCACUAGAUAACAUCAAACAGCACUACAUCAAGUACCGCAACUAGGACGAGAAAUAUCAAGCAAUUUCGAUCAUCUUUGGUGUGAUUACCAUCGGACAGGCGAUCAUUUUCUGUCGUAUGAGUAUAGGACAGUUGUGAUUGGCAUUGUUAAUCGAUGGAAACAGACACGCAAAACGGCCGGCAGGAUGGUCAUUCGGUAGCGGUACUGUCCGGUGAUUUAACGGUGGAGCAAUGGUUUGCCGUUCUGAAUCGAUUCCAAGCCGGACUAAAGAAGGUAUUGAUUACAACGAACGUUUUGUCUUGGGGUAUCGAUGUCGAACAGGUGACCAUUGUCAACUUCGACCUGUCGAUGGAUCAGUAGAGACGAGCCGAUUGUGAAACAUAUCUGCAUCGAAUUGGACACACCGGUAAAUUCGGCAUCGCCAUCAACCUGGUGGGCAGUGAUCGAAGCAUGAUGAUUUGCAGAUCAUUCGAAAAACACUUCCAGAAAAAGAUGUAGCUACUGGACGCGGAGAACUCGGACCAUACUGUAAAGAUCGGAUCGUAAAGUGUUUUUGACCAGCUACCGGUGAAAGGCGCAGGAGCUGUUUUGGGUCAUACUUGUCUCGAUUCUGAAUUUAAAUAUUGUAAUUUGAUUUAGCUCUACCCAGUUCUUGCCAAACAUUUGAAAAGAACCUAACUGCAAAAUGUAACAAAUUGAAUUUUAAUGUUUUCCAUUAACAAAUAUCUACUCGAACACGUACAUAACGCAACAUUUGAUUAUGGAGAAUUUUAAUAGCAAUUUCCGGAUUUUUAUGACCAUACUGGUUAUUAAAGGGCCUAACUGAUUACAAAAGAGCCUAAUUGAUUAUAAAAGUGCCUAACUGAUGUCAAAAGCGCCCAACUGAUUGAAAAGUGCUUAACUAGCAAUGCACUCAUUUUAAAAGGAUUAUAACGAAUUAAUGUAUUAUAACCAGGUAUGCACAAGAGCGGGGCUGCUCCGUGUCCUAUUCCUGUGCACUGGCUCAUAAUAUGUCACAGCUAAAUUCAUUUAGCUAGGGCUUGUGCUGGUUUUAGAUGAGCUAGAGCUAGCAAGUAGCACGAGCACCGAUUAGUGAGAGCUCUCGCUAGCACGGUGAUAGCUAGCACGCUGCACGGAGCUAUUGCUCAGCUACACAGAGAAACAAAAAUAUGCAUAGUUAGCAUACUUUCUA